UCAAUCAAAAUCUUUUCUUUUUUUUGUGAUAAGAAAUUCAAUCAAAAUCACAUCCCCUAAAGACCUAGUUUCUCUCGCUAAUUGUCCAAGCAAAAGUCUCUUUGUGAUGGAGAGAACUCAUGGUCAUUCAAUUGGUGUUCCAAGCUUGAUCCGACCGCAAGGCUGCAACAAAUCCACCUGCAUCUCUUUUACCAAUGCCCAAGGAUGAUACGGACGAGGUAGACAAGGCUCUCUAUUGGACUCAUGAAUAGAUGCCGCUACAUGCAUUCUCAUAGCCCUAGCAGUUGAUUUUAAGGCCACAACUCCCCAUCGAAAUCUAUCGAAUCCUUGGUAGCUUCUUUAUCUUUUUCUACCUAUACUUCCAAUGACCCAAAACUUUUGAGAGAGACUAUUAGAGGAGAGUGGGGUCUUAAUGAUUCAACGGAUGUAAUAGCUCAUAGACAAAAAUGGUUUGAUGAUUCAAAUGAAGAUGUUAUUGCAAAAUCACUAAAUGCAGAUUUGAUUUAGAAUGUGGAUGGUACUUCUGAGACCAUGGUGAGAAUGCAAUUAUGAUUGGGAGAAUCAAAGAGGGAGUCAUUGAUAGGGCUUUGAAAACAGCUAUGUUGUUCUCAUGAGACUUGGAUUCUUUGAAGGCAUCCCUUCACUUGAAGUGUUUGAUAUAUAGGUGGAAAGUUGCCUCUUACAUGGUACAUUAAUGACUAUACAGACAAAUUGCCCAUGAAUUCCAUGUCCCUAAGGCCACUUCCAGAAUUUGGCUAUCCUAGAAGGCCUUAUAAGUUCUUCAAUGGUGAAACCCUUUAUCCUUUUGGUUAUAGCCUCAGCUACACGGUUUAAAUACUCAAUGAUAUCUUCUGCUCAAGCACUUCAAAUGAAGUUAGGAAGGCUCCAACAUUGUUGUGAUCUCACUUAUGAGGCUUACACUGCCGUCCAGGGAGAACAUGAUUGUGGUUGGAGAUGCAAAGCUCUUUUUACCAGUUCAAAUCAAUAUUAACUAACCACAACUAGAUGGUUACUUAGAUCGUUAAAGUUAGCUUAAGUUCUUUUUUUUUUUUUUUUUCUCCAACUCCAGUAAUAGUUAGGAGUGGUUAUUUGUACUUGAGUUCCUUAGUUUAAUCCUUUGUUACCGCGAUACAAUAUGAUGGGAUCUAUUGAGUUUCUCAGUAAUUAAACAUU